rnacentral:tRNA from 2 species
CAGAGAAUAGUUUAAUUAAAAUAUUAAUUUUGGAGAUUAAUGAUGGAAGUAUUUCUUUCUCUGA